GAUGAACGCUGGCGGCGUGCCUAAUACAUGCAAGUCGAGCGAACGGACGAGAAGCUUGCUUCUCUGAUGUUAGCGGCGGACGGGUGAGUAACACGUGGAUAACCUACCUAUAAGACUGGGAUAACUUCGGGAAACCGGAGCUAAUACCGGAUAAUAUUUUGAACCGCAUGGUUCAAAAGUGAAAGACGGUCUUGCUGUCACUUAUAGAUGGAUCCGCGCUGCAUUAGCUAGUUGGUAAGGUAACGGCUUACCAAGGCAACGAUGCAUAGCCGACCUGAGAGGGUGAUCGGCCACACUGGAACUGAGAAACGGUCAAGACUCCUACGGGAGGCAGCAGUAGGGAAUCUUCCGCAAAGGGCGAAAGCCUGACGGAGCAACGCCGCGUGAGUGAUGAAGGUCUUCGGAUCGUAAAACUCUGUUAUUAGGGAAGAACAUAUGUGUAAGUAACUGUGCACAUCUUGACGGUACCUAAUCAGAAAGCCACGGCUAACUACGUG
rnacentral:rRNA from 1 species